AAAGGGGCCGCGGCCCUCCCGGCCCUCCUCAGCCAGAGGCGCGCUCGGGUCCGCGAUUCCCUCAGAGUUCCCGACGUCGAACCCUCCCUCCUUAAUGACUUACCGCAACCGGGACGGGAGUGUGAGCCCCUGAGGGGCUCUCCUGUGGGGCUUGGAGGGAGUGGCGCAAAGGACUGUCUUACAGGCGGAGAUGUGCAGGAGGGAAGAAAGUGAGCCUGGGUAUUUGUUCCCCUGACUCCCUGCCUGUAAGACUCAGAGCUGACUGUCCUUUACAACCAGAAGUAACAAGCCCUCCUCCCAAGUGGCCUCUCCACAGCUCUCUCUGGUUCUGGGUUCCAGUAACCACCUACGUUUUGCUCCCUGUGAUUUCCCGGUAUGUUCUCACAUCUUUAUCAAUAGUCCCUUUAUUAAACUUCUCAAAUUGCCCAAUUGCAGAAUGCCAUCUGUUUCCAGCUAGGACCCUAACUGAUAAAAUAACUCAUUUCAAAGAAAUAUAGCUAGUCAGUGACAAGUCAGAAUCUCUUUGGUUCAAAAACCCAUCCUUUUUUAUUUCAUCCGAUUCUUCUAAGUGGAAAGAGACUUAGUAAACUGUAAAGUACUAUUCAAAUACAAGAUAUCGUCAAAUAAUGAAGAUCACCAGAGUUUAAAAGCAAAACAUAUACAGCUGAUUUUAUUUGUUUCUAGGCAAAGGAAUAAACUAGUUGACUGAAGGGGAAAAGCAGGUGUUUUUAAUUGUUAGUAAUGGGUUUCAUGGUUGUUAUGGGAAUUAAAGAUUAAAACAAAUACUCCAAAUAGGCUGGAAUAAACCCACAGCUCUGUACAUGACUAGUUAAAACAAUGCCCAUACUUCAUAGGCUGGAUAGGGGGAGAUCUUCACAUAGGUCCUGUAAGGUCUUACUUUAACUUACUAGGGUUGUUCAAAGUUCAUGGUUUCUUUAACAACUUUAGCUGGUUUGGAGAGUUGAAGCACAGUACAGUAGUCAAUGUCUUAUCUCCUAGGCAAGCUGUGCUGUAAAUGGAAGAAUUUUUCUUAACAAUGUUAUUAUGUAACAAAUGAAGAGCCUGAUACCAAAAUAUGUUAGACGUUAUGCCUAAAUUCAACUGGUCUGUUUACAGAUCUGAAUCUAGAACCCAAGUGUCUAAUUCGCAAUCACUUUUUUUCCUAAUUAAUGGGAAAUUUUUAGCUCUACACCUAUGUUAUUCUUCUUUAAAUCCUCUAUAACUAGCACAUAGUAGAUUAUCAAGAAAUAUUUCCUGAAUUGAAUCUCUUAGUCCCUCCUGAAUUCUUUUUCACUAAUUGUGUUAGUCAGUUGAGGUUGUUACAACAAAAAUGUGAUAGACUGGAUGGCUUAAACAACAAACAUUUCUCACACUUCUGAAGGCUGGGAAGUGCAAGAUAAGGUGCCAGAGUAUUCAGUAUCUGGUGAGAGCCUUCUUCCUGAUUUGCAGACAGCCACCUUCUUGCUUCUGCCCCUGGCCUCUAAAAUGGAUGUUCUUACAUACAAAAUUCCAUCCCAGCAACCCCAAUAGCAUCAACUCUAAAGUCUAUAAAGUCCAAAGUCUUACCUGUCAUCCAAAUCAGAUAUGGGUGAGACUCACCCUGAAGCAAAAUUCCUUUCCAGCUAUGAGCCUGUGAAGCCAAACCUACAAAGGAUAGACAUCCCCAUUCCAACAGGUGGAAGGAAGGACAGAAGCAUGUUUAGUCCCAAGCAUGUCUGAACCUCUCAAGGCAAACUCCAUGAGAUCUCAAGGCUUGAGAAUAAACCCCUUUCUCUUGAUGCUCUGCCUUCUGGACACCUUCUUUCCCCCAUCCCUCCCCGACUUUCUGAAGACCUCCCCCAACCCCUGCCCUGCACCUCUACCAGGCCAGCGCUCUACCUGGUGGUGGUCAAGGCUUUGGGUGAGGACUGACUGUUGUGAUGCCCUUUUGAAACCAUGGAGGCAGCCCAGAUCUUUGAAUUGUCCUCAGGGUCAUCCUUCCCUAGUCUUGAAGAAUAGCUUUGCUCUAACCAGGUCCUGUAAAAUUCAAGAAGUCCAACAGUCUUUCUUCAUUCCAUCACCUUCAGUUCAAACUAGGAGUUCCUGCUGGGGAGAUGGUUAGGUCUGUGGUUCACAUCCACACUGAUCUCCUUAUCAAGUGAUCAGUUAACCACACACAUGGGGUUCUUUUCCAAACACUGCUUUCUCAUUUUUUUGUAAUAUGGACAGGCUGGGAAAUUUCUGUAUCUUUAAGUUCUGAUUCCUUUCUCUUAACAGUUCCAUCCUCAAUUUAUUUCUCUCUUUUUGCAUUUUACUAUAAGCAGUCAAAUAGAACCAAGCUACUUCUUCAACACUUUGCAUAGAAAUUGCCUCUGCUUGAUGUCCAGUUUCAUCACUUGUAAGUUCUACCCUCCACAAAACACUAGAACACAAACACAGUUCAUCCAAGUUCUUUGCCACUUUAUAACAAGGAUCACCUUUCCUCCAGUUUCCAAUACCAUGCUCCUCAUCUCUGUGUAAGACAAGAAUGGUCUUUAUUGUCCACAUUUCUAUCAACAUUCUGUACAUAAUUAUUUAUGUAUUCUCUAAGAAGAUAGAAGCUUUCUCUCCAGCUCGCCUCAUCUCUCUCUCUGAGCUUUCACCAGAAUCACCUUUAGGGAUUCCUUCACAGCAAUAUUGACUUUUUCUAGCAUGCACCCAGUGUAAGGUCUCUAAUGCCAUCAUUAGGUUCCACCCCCAUGACCUCAUCUAAACCUAAUUACUUCCCAAAGGCUCCAUUUCCAAAUAACAUCACAUAGGGGAUUGGGGCUUCAACAUAUGAAAUUUAGGGAAACACAAACAUUCAGUCCAUAAGCACUAAUUUAUUAUUAUGUUUUUUUAAAUAAAAGGAAUUUGCUUAAGGGUCAUCUAUAGAUUAGAAGACUAAAAGAAUUAUUUUAUUCAAUCUAUUUUUUGGUCAGUAAAUGAAGAACAUCACCUUGGGAAUUAGAAGAGUGAAUUUGCCCCAAUAUAAUUCCCAUUGGACAUUUCUUGCAUGCCAGGAAUUUACCUGCAUUAUUUAUAUAAUCUUCACAACAGUCUUGCAAGUAAACUCAGUUUCUUGGAGGUUAAGAUUCA